AAAUUUUUAGUUUAAGUAAUAAAAUAUUAAAUUGCAAAUUUAAAGAAAUAAUAAUUAUAAAAUUUU
rnacentral:tRNA from 1 species